rnacentral:rRNA from 1 species
UACGUAGGGUGCGAGCGUUAAUCGGAAUUACUGGGCGUAAAGCGUGCGCAGGCGGUUCGUUAAGUUCGAUGUGAAAGCCCCGGGCUCAACCUGGGAACUGCAUUGGAAACUGGCGAGCUUGAAUGCGGCAGAGGGGGGUGGAAUUCCGCGUGUAGCAGUGAAAUGCGUAGAGAUGCGGAGGAACACCGAUGGCGAAGGCAGCCCCCUGGGCCGACAUUGACGCUGAGGAGCGAAAGCGUGGGGAGCGAACAGG